GACGACCGCUGGCGGCGUGCUUAACACCCUCAAGUCGAACGGAAAGGCCCUGCUUUUGUUGAGUACUCACGUGGCUUAAGGGUGUGUAACACGUGAGUAACCUGCCCUUGACUUUGGGAUAACUUCCGAAAACUGGGGCUAAUACCGGAUAGGAGCUCCUGCUGCAUGGUGGGGGUUGGACAGUUUCUGCGGUUGGGGAUGGACUCGCGGCUUAUCAGCUUGUUGGUGGGGUAGUGGCUUACCAAGGCUUUGACGGGUAGCCGGCCUGAGAGGGUGACCGGCCACAUUGGGACUGAGAUACGGCCCAGACUCCUACGGGAGGCAGCAGGGGGGAAUAUUGCACAAUGGGCGGAAGCCUGAUGCAGCAACGCCGCGUGCGGGAGGACGGCCUUCGGGUUGUAAACCGCUUUCGCCUGUGACGAAGCGUGAGUGACGGUAAUGGGUAAAGAAGCAGCGGCUAACUACGUG
rnacentral:rRNA from 1 species